CAGUGUAUGCUAAAGUUGUUGCGGUUGAAAAGCUCGUAGUUGGAUUUUGGGCGAGCGCCGCCGGUCCGUCGCAAGGCGUGUCACUGGUUGCGUUCGCCUCACCUUCGGUUCUCCGUCGGUGCUCUUGACUGAGUGUCGGCGGUGGCCGAUAAGUUUACUUUGAAAAAAUUAGAGUGUUCAAAGCAGGCUGUUCGCCUGCAUAGUGUUGCAUGGAAUAAUGGAAUAGGACCUCGGUUCUAUUUUGUUGGUUUUCGGAGCACGAGGUAAUGAUUAAGAGGGACAGACGGGGGCGUCCGUACUCUGCCGUU
rnacentral:rRNA from 1 species